UCAACAUCUGACAUAGUGUCCAACUUGAAAGCUUCAGAUUGUCAAAGAAAUGCAGAUCAAGAAACUUCUUUGUCUUAAACUUCUAAUUGCCAUGUGCUCAAUGGGGAUUUCCCCAGGGGAUUUCAAGGAGUACCUGACAUGCCUGAAGCCACACUUCCUGUUAACCCUUUGGGCCUGAUUGUGUAGAAUCUCUCAUGCCAUUUGGCAUCUUUUCAUAUCCUUCAGGCAUUCCUUCAGACAUGUCAGGUGGAUUUUGACUCCAAAGAUGAGUUUUUGGUCUCAGAGAAGUCUAUACAUGUAGAAAAUGUACAUUGUAAUGCAUUGUAUCAAUCAUCCGUGCAGUGGCUGAUGUCUUCACCCCACAUCUGCGGAGAUGCGUCAGACGUGUAUGGAUUUCUAGUUUGAGAGAAGCUCACCAGGAAACUUUACAUUCUGAUCACCAGUAAACUAUACAUUCUGGCCACCAGUAAACUAUACAUUCUGGCCACCAGUAAACUAUACAUUCUGAUCACCAGUAAACUAUACAUUUUGAUUACCAGAAAACUAUACAUUCUGAUCACCAGGAAAUUAUACAUUCUGAUCUAUACUGGUAAAAAAGUAAGACGGGAGUGCAAAACGUGAACUGAAAACCUCCAUCUGAAAAUCAGUAUGUCAUUAGCUGCUGUUACAACUACAAAAUGUGAAGUCUGCUCAAAGUUUUGUAGAAAUAAAUCUGAUUUAGAAACACA